CACGAAGUCAUGUGAGCUAACCCACUUACACUUAUAUGUAGCAUAAUAUUUAUUUAAUUUGGGUUAGGGGUGAUAGGCCUCUCAAAAACGACGAUAUCUUGAAGUAAGUGAAAAAAAUCGAGUUUUAAGGUGAUUACAAAGUUAUAAGAUUUUGUAAUGAAUUUAAUGUUUUUUUGUGCGAGGUGUUGGUGUAAAAACCCGCAUAACUCCAAGUAAUUAUUAAAUGAGUUAAGCUUAUUUCCCUAGCUUGCGGUAGUGAAACUCCAAUAUAAUCAUUAUGUUAGUAUUAGUAUUGACUGAGGUGUUAAUAGUGAACUCGGCAACAAAGCUUUCAACUGUUUACCAAAAACAUAGCCGCAUGCUCCACAUGCGGUGUGUUCUGCUCAAUGAUUGCUUAAAUAGCCGCAGUACCCUGACUGUGCAAAGGUAGCGUAAUCAUUUGUCUUUUAAUUGGAGACGUGUAUGAAUGAAUGCAUGGGGGCUUACUUUACCAUUGACAUGAUUUGAAAUUACUUAAGAGGUGAAAAAACCUCUAACUAAAAAAUAGACGAGAAGACCCUUGAAAUUUGUAUAAAAGUUUUGUUGGGGCAACAUGGUAGACAAACCUACUAAAUAUACACGAAAUCUAUUUGAUUGACGAAAUUACUCUAGGGAUAACAGCAUAAUUCAUGAGAGUUUGUGACCUCGAUGUUGGAUUAGGGAACUAUAACUUAAAA
rnacentral:rRNA from 1 species